GGGUUGUGAGGUUAAGCGACUAAGCGUACACGGUGGAUGCCCUGGCAGUCAGAGGCGAUGAAGGACGUGCUAAUCUGCGAAAAGCGCCGGCGAGGUGAUAUGAACCCUUGACCCGGCGAUGUCCGAAUGGGGAAACCCAGUGUGAUUCGUCACACUAUCGUUAACUGAAUACAU
rnacentral:rRNA from 1 species